GGGAGGCAGCAGUGGGGAAUAUUGGACAAUGGGCGAAAGCCUGAUCCAGCCAUGCCGCGUGUGUGAAGAAGGCCUUUUGGUUGUAAAGCACUUUAAGCGAGGAGGAGGCUACCGAGAUUAAUACUCUUGGAUAGUGGACGUUACUCGCAGAAUAAGCACCGGCUAACUCUGUGCCAGCAGCCGCGGUAAUACAGAGGGUGCGAGCGUUAAUCGGAUUUACUGGGCGUAAAGCGUGCGUAGGCGGCUUUUUAAGUCGGAUGUGAAAUCCCUGAGCUUAACUUAGGAAUUGCAUUCGAUACUGGGAAGCUAGAGUAUGGGAGAGGAUGGUAGAAUUCCAGGUGUAGCGGUGAAAUGCGUAGAGAUCUGGAGGAAUACCGAUGGCGAAGGCAGCCAUCUGGCCUAAUACUGACGCUGAGGUACGAAAGCAUGGGGAGCAAACAGGAUUAGAUACCCUGGUAGUCCAUGCCGUAAACGAUGUCUACUAGCCGUUGGGGCCUUUGAGGCUUUAGUGGCGCAGCUAACGCGAUAAGUACACCGCCUG
rnacentral:rRNA from 1 species